rnacentral:rRNA from 1 species
GAACGCUGGCGGCAGGCCUAACACAUGCAAGUCGAGCGGUAACAUUUCUAGCUUGCUAGAAGAUGACGAGCGGCGGACGGGUGAGUAACGCGUAGAAAUCUACCUAGUAGUGGGGGAUAGCCCAGAGAAAUUUGGAUUAAUACCGCAUACGCCCUACGGGGGAAAGCGGGGGAUCUUCGGACCUCGUGCUAUUAGAUGAGUCUGCGUCGGAUUAGCUUGUUGGUGAGGUAAUGGCUCACCAAGGCGACGAUCCGUAGCUGGUCUGAGAGGAUGACCAGCCACACUGGAACUGAGACACGGUCCAGACUCCUACGGGAGGCAGCAGUGGGGAAUAUUGCACAAUGGGCGCAAGCCUGAUGCAGCCAUGCCGCGUGUGGGAAGAAGGCCUUAGGGUUGUAAAGCACUUUCAGCAGUGAGGAAAGGGGUGUCGUUAAUAGCGCCAUCCUGUGACGUUAACUGCAGAAGAAGGACCGGCUAACUCCGUG